AUCUCUAAGUCUAACGCCAAAUCUUUAUUUGCCAUCAAAUCCCCGGGUUAGGACUACGGUUCCCAGAAGGCAACGCUCCGCUCCCUUGACUCCGCUUCCUUAGCCGGCCGGGAGUUGUAGUUUACAGAACUCGAGUUUUACGCACUUGUCAGCAAGGUCUCGGCUAUAAAGGUCUCUCCUCCGUCCGGGUCAUUUUAUUUUCGGGCGUAGCUCGGAUUCCUGAGUCUAUUCUUAGUGCUCGACGGACCAGGCGGAAGACCAGCUGUCGGCCGGCCGGCAAGGCGCUCUAGGCCGAGCGGUUUUCGUCUCUAUGACCACAGGAGGCGGUCCCGCGUGUCCAGCGCAGGGAGCGCGGAGUGGGUGUGCGUCAGUUCCGCGCAGGGCUGUCGGGGAGCGAUGGCUGCCCCCAGAGAAAAUGUCAGUUUAUUAUUCAAGUUAUACUGCUUGACAGUGAUGACGCUGGUGGCUGCAGCUUAUACCAUAGCUUUAAGAUACACAAGGACAUCAGACAAAGAACUCUACUUUUCAACCACAGCUGUGUGUAUCACAGAAGUUAUAAAGUUAUUGCUAAGUGUGGGAAUUUUAGCUAAAGAAACUGGUAGUCUGGGUAGAUUCAAGACAUCUUUAAGAGAAAAUGUCUUGGGGAGUCCCAGAGAAUUGAUGAAGUUAAGUGUGCCAUCAUUAGUGUAUGCUGUUCAGAACAACAUGGCUUUCCUAGCUCUUAGCAACCUGGAUGCAGCAGUGUACCAGGUGACCUACCAAUUGAAGAUUCCCUGUACUGCUUUAUGUACUGUUUUAAUGUUAAACCGGACACUCAGCAAAUUACAGUGGAUUUCAGUUUUUAUGCUAUGUGGUGGAGUCACACUUGUACAGUGGAAACCAGCACAAGCUACAAAAGUCAUGGUGGAACAGAACCCAUUGCUAGGGUUUGGUGCUAUAGCCAUUGCUGUAUUGUGCUCAGGAUUUGCAGGAGUGUACUUUGAAAAAGUUUUAAAGAGUUCAGACACUUCCCUUUGGGUGAGAAACAUUCAAAUGUAUCUAUCAGGGAUUAUUGUGACAUUAGUUGGCGUCUACUUGUCAGAUGGAGCUGAAAUUAAAGAAAAAGGAUUUUUCUAUGGUUACACAUAUUAUGUCUGGUUUGUCAUCUUUCUUGCAAGUGUUGGAGGCCUCUACACUUCUGUUGUGGUCAAGUAUACAGACAACAUCAUGAAGGGCUUUUCUGCAGCAGCAGCCAUUGUCCUUUCUACCAUUGCUUCAGUGAUGCUAUUUGGAUUACAGAUAAAUUCAAAUACUGAGGAGGCUACCACAGAUCUGGAAAGGGAAACGCUUCUCCAAAAAAGUGGAGAAGGAUACUGCACAUGAAAAAUACAUCCCAACGUACACUUUUAUUCCGUGGCUGAUUUGUGCUAAGGAAAUCUUAAUGAUACUGUAUAUCCAAGUCUUCAGUCUUGACAAAAUGUUGCUUGAAAUCAUCAAUUUGCCAUUCUCUGGCACCAUCUUUCUACUGGAAAAGGAACACAAUGAAAUGAAAUGGAAAAGACAAAUUCAACUCCUUUGGCAACCAAAGCCACAGUGAAUGAAUUUGGACACCUUAUUGGGACUUGUAAAAAAUGAUUUCAUGUAAUUUGCUCAAUCUUGUAAGAAAAGACACAUAUUAUUGCUCUUAUUUUUUGGAUAAGAGACCAGGGAAAAAGCUGUCUCAUCCAAGAUCACCGAAUCAGUUACUAACAGUCAGAACUGGUACCCUGAUCUUUUGGAGUCUCAUUUUCCAAUCGGAAGUCCUCAAUCUGUUUUGUGAGAACACUUCACAUUGGGAACAGUAGCAAGUGGGAGAAGACUGUUGGGGAAAAAGGAAAAGCUACUACUGCUGACUGUGCUCCUCCUGCAGGCUGAAUCUGAACAAAAUAGAAGAGGCUGACUUUGCAGAGAGGAGAGAGGUGACAGUAAUUACCUUUGAGUUUUACAGCCCAUCUAUGAUGGACAGUCAUCUACCCUGGAACUUUAUCACACUGCUCCUAAAUCUGAUAAAAUAUAUGACAACUGACACUAUGUACAGGGAGGCAGUCAAGGUUAAGUAUUCAGGCUUCAGAGUCAGCUCUAUGACCCUGAGCAACUUACUUGACCUGUCAUCAACCAUCAUCAUCUCCAGUUUCUUGAACACAGUGAUUACAUCUCUUGCUUUUUGGGGUAAAGUUGCCUGGUCUAUUUAAGAUGCUACAUAUUUAAAAAAUUAUCUUCUUCCACCUCUCUCAUUUUUAGAAGAAAUUCAAGAAUAAUAUUUUCCAUUCAUUUUGACCCUAGCCUCCGUCCCCCCACCCCCAUCUGUCUGUCUCUACUUUGAAAAUACAAUGGUAAGUACCACAGCAGCUAGAAAACUUCUAAGGGAGGGAGCAGCGAUGCUCUCACAGCAAUGCCAAAUGGAAAAUAACAGAGAGCGAAGACGGCUGCUGGGAAAUAGACUUCGCCUUCAUCAGCAUUCAGAUGCUUAAGUUCCAGCCUUCCUUAACUGCUUUAGAAAAAAGCUGAGGGGCAAAUACAGAAGCAAAUAAACCGACAUUCAAAAAGCCUACAGAAUACAAUUCAAAUAGAACAGGUUAUUUUUAGACAUUUGUAACAAGCAUAAACAAAUAGGAGCAUUAUAUGGGAAACAAAAAUGUAGGAGAAAAGCCAGAGAAUCAAUGAAUAAGGAAGACUGAAGUCUUGGUAUUUUGAGUUUGUUUGGGGAGGAAAGAUGGUAAAGUGAAAUGAGGAAGAAGAUAUUAGAAUUGAGCACUGGUGACAACUUUUCAAACUUCACGAAACUUACAAUGGCAUUAUUUCAAGCAUGCAUGUAUGCAUGAAAACAGAUUCUACACCACUUCCCUGAUGA